rfam:Oryza barthii chromosome 2, whole genome shotgun sequence.
AAUAAAUGUAGUUUUGCACUAUUCACAUUCAACGUUUGACCGUUCGUCUUAUUUGAAAUUUUUUUAUGAUUAGUAUUUUUAUUGCUAUUAGAUGAUAAAACAUAAAUAGUACUUUAUGUGUGACUAAAUAUUUUCAAAAUUUUCAAAUAAGACGGACGGUCAAAUGUUGGGCACGGGUAUCCACGGCUGCACUUAUU